rnacentral:rRNA from 2 species
GAUUUCUGACAUUAAUGCGCUUGAUCCGCCACGGUUACGUGUGUGAGUGUCGAGUCGUGUUUGUCAUCCUUCUAGAAACUGCUAUAUUAGCUCUUCAUUGAGUUAGUUAGUCAAAUAUCUAGAUCUUUUACUUUGAAAAAAUUAGAGUGUUUAAAGCAGGCAAUUUUGCUAUGAAUACAUUAGCAUGGAAUAAUAAUUUAGGACUUUAGUUCUAUUUUGUUGGUCUUCUAGAACUGAAGUAAUGAUUGAUAGGGAUAGUUGGGGGUGCUCGUAUUCAGUGGCCAGAGGUGAAAUUCUCGGAUUCACUGAAGACGAACUUAUGCGAAAGCAUU